AUUGAACGCUGGCGGCAGGCCUAACACAUGCAAGUCGAACGAGUGGCGGACGGGUGAGUAAUGUCUGGGAAACUGCCUGAUGGAGGGGGAUAACUACUGGAAACGGUAGCUAAUACCGCAUACCAUCGGAUGUGCCCAGAUGGGAUUAGCUAGUAGGUGGGGUAACGGCUCACCUAGGCGACGAUCCCUAGCUGGUCUGAGAGGAUGACCAGCCACACGGGAACGGAGACACGGGCCAGACGCCUACGGAAGGCAGCAGUGGGGAAUAUUGCACAAUGGGCGCAAUCCGGAUGCAGCCAUGCCGCGGGUAUGAAGAAGGCCUUCGGGUUGUAAGGUAUUUUCAGCGGGGAGGCGGUACCCGCAGAAGAAGCACCGGCUAACUCCGUGCCAGCAGCCGCGGUAAUAC
rnacentral:rRNA from 1 species